rnacentral:rRNA from 1 species
GAAAUGCGAUAAGUAAUGUGAAUUGCAGAAUUCAGUGAAUCAUCGAAUCUUUGAACGCACCUUGCGCUCCUUGGUAUUCCGAGGAGCAUGCCUGUUUGAGUGUCAUAAAAUUCUCAACCUCUCUUAGUUUAUGGCUAAGUUAGGCUUGGAUCAUGGAAGCUGCUGGCUAGUCAAGUUAGCUCUUCUAAAAUACAUUUGCAAAGAUAUUUGCUGACUAUGUUUGAUAUGAUAAUUAUCUAUAUCAUUCAUGAUCAGUGUCCCUUUGCCUCUAAUAGUCUGCUAGACAAACUUGACAACUUUUGACCUCAAAUCAGGUAGGACUACCCGCUGAACUUAA